UGGACCACUACUCUACAUGCCCAUUUUGUUCAUGUAGUAGAGCUUAUUGGUGGCCAUGAAAGGGCAACACCCGAAUCAGUUUUGGAGUUAAUGAAUGUGAAGGACUUAACACUAGCUCAUGUGAAGAGUCACCUGCAGAUGUAUAGAACAGUGAAGAGCACUGACAAAGGAGCAUGUAUUUGGAUCUUCCCCUACACCCCCCCCCCCCC